CCUGGUGGCUCAGAUGGUAAAGAAUCUGCCUGCAAUGCAGGAGACCUAGGUUUGAUUCCUAGGUCAGGA
rnacentral:tRNA from 1 species